CUUGGCGGCGAGCGGCGGACGGCUGAGUAACGCGUGGGAAUUUGCCCCAAAGUGAGGAAUAACUGCCCGAAAGGGUGGCUAAUGCCGCAUAUGAUCUUCGGAUUAAAGGAUUUAUCCGCUUUGGGAGAAGCCCGCGUCGGAUUAGGUAGUUGGUGAGGUAAUGGCUCACCAAGCCGACGAUCCGUAGCUGGUCUGAGAGGAUGACCAGCCAGACUGGAACUGAGACACGGUCCAG
rnacentral:rRNA from 1 species